CAUACCAUUUCUCAAGAGUUAAGAGAACCAAAUCUGCAAGGUGGUGUUGAUACCUCUGGAAGGAUUCCCACCCAACUUUGGUCCCACCAGAGUCUUAGCUUUUUUGUUUCAUCAAGAAAAUGAGGCUCUCAGUCUGUACCACCCCUGAGCCCAGGCAAGAGGGGCCCCUGGCCUGUGUCCUGUGCUUUAGAGAGCAUCAUUCUGGCCUCUGUCACCUGGGCUCUUCCCUAUAGAGCAAGGAGUGUGUAGAGCUAAGGGGACAUGCUCACCCAGGGCCACCCCUCACUUCCCGGUGCAUUCUUCCCACAUGGGAUAAGUUCACAGGACCCAGAGUGAUUUGCACAGGUUGCCAUGAGCCUGCUUCCAUGGCCUGUGCGGGCUUCUUCCCCAAAUCCUUUCUCCUCAAGAUAGAUGAACACACUGUGGAUGAAGCUCUAGGCCCAAGCAGUGGCCAAGGAAUGGACAGAUCCAAGUAUGUGGACAGACCCUGGGCACAUAGCCUUGGGUGUCCUCACAUGUACUUGUCAGCUCCCUUGCCCUGUACAGUGGGGCCUAUGGUGGGAACAGAGAAGUGGCCCCUUGGGCUGGACAGUGGUGGGAACAGAGACAUGGCUCCAUAGGCUGGUGGUGGCUCCCAUCUGCCUUCACAUUUCAGUUUGGAGUUGAGAGGAGUACAAGAUCCUAAAUUAGAACUUGAAUUCCUAAGUGUUAAAGAAGGCAUUUCUAUCAAGAUAGGAGUGUUCUAUUGAGCAUAUGCAUCUUAUCUAUCAAACAAGUUUCAUUUAAGUUUGGGGCUUGAUUUCUAAUUUUUAGAUAUCUGGACAUAGAUAUGUGAGCAUCUCUUUGUACUCUUGCCCUGGGCUCAGAAAAUGCGAGGGGUGGGAUGCCACCAGGUAGGAGCUUCCUCUGCUUCAUGGCUGAAGUAGAUCUGAACCCAUUAUUCUCCUGCCUCAGAGGACAGGGUGCUCUUCAGAAGGCUCUUUAAGCCUACCCUCUGCUUCCAACUUUUCAUAUCAUUUCUGGAUCUUGCAUCAUAAAAUGUCUCCCAUUUCUGUGGCUAAUUUCCCUCAUCUCAUUAAUGAGGAAGUCUCUCCUAGCCUUAAGAAACAAACAAAAAACAAGCAAAAAAUUCAAUUGACUACCCCACUCCCAUUUCACUAGUAUUCUCUUCCCCUUCACAGCCCAAUUUCUUUCAAGUCUAUCCUAUGCUGUUUCAUCUUAACAUCUUCAUCUCAUGCUUAUUAUUCAACCUUUAAAAUCUGUUUUCUAAUUCCAUCAGGCCAUAUAUCCAGUGGUCACUUUUACAUCGACUGUUUGCUUCACUAGACUUUUCUGGUAUAUUCUGUUCUGUUGAUCACCCCAAUUACCUUUUUGAAUCUUGAAUUCCUUGGGUUUAAUUAUGCUGGAUUGUGAGGAUUCUUCUGCUGCUUCUAUGACCUUUUCUCCUCUUGGCCACUCCCUUAAAAUUUGAUGAGCUCCAGGAUUCCAUUCUAUGGUCACUAGUCUUCUGGGUCUAGAGAGUCUCAACCAUCCUAUAUGAUGAGAGCACGCAUCCCUACUUUUCUAGUUUCAACAUCUACUUUCAACCUUGAACUCAUCACCCAAAUGAAUGUUGGCCAUCUCCAAUUUGAAAUACCAUCAGAUGCCUCAGAUUCAAUGUGUUAGUCUAGACACAACUCCUUCCCUGUGCAUUCUUCUCAUUUUUUUUUUUUUUUUAAUUUUCUCAAGUCCAGGAGUCUCCGGAGUUUCUCCGUCUCCCCUUGUAUCAAAUCUAUUGCUAAAUUCUGAUCAUUCAACCUCAUAAAUGUUUCUCAGAUCUAUAUCAUAUUUUCCAUUCCCCCCAUCGCCAUAGAUCCUUCUCUUUUGAAUUCAGUUAGUACUUCCUAUUGGUUCCCCCCCCUCCUUCACUUUUGCCUCAAUAUUGUCUUUCCUCCUUUUUCUGCCAGAAUAAUUUAUCUAAAACAAAAAUCAGAUCUAAGAAAUCACUGAUCUUUACAGAAUAAAUGCUAAGUUCAUUAACAUGGCAUGCACUACCCUCUGUGAUCAGCCUUCUCCAUUCCCCUGCCAUGAUCUGCAUUAAAGUUUUUUAGUUUUGUUGCUUUGCCAUGCAUCCCUUUCCUCUAAACACACAUAUGCCUGAUGUCUCACACUAGUGAGCCACUUUCUCAGUUUUAUUUCUGCCUCAACAAUUUUUCCUAACCACUAUUCCUCCUUUUAAAUUCAGGCCCAAAUCACCUUCUCCAGAAAGUGUCUCCAGCCUCAUUACUCCCAAAAAGUUAAGGUGGUGUGUGGACAAGGAAAUGUGCAGCAGUCAUUUCUCCACGAGAAGGUGGUGUGACCUACUAUGGUAUCUGGUGAGGCAUACUGACAUUGUUUCUGCAUCCUGGAAACCUGAUGUGUCAUCUGGGUCACUCAGCAACAGACAUAGAGAGAGAGAGGCAGAGACACAGGAGGAAGGAGAAGUAGGCUCCAUGCC